rnacentral:lncRNA from 1 species
AUUAAAAACCAAUUGUUCAGAGAACAAUUGAAGGUCUUUCCACCAGUAAAUAUCUAUUUUGAUAUUAGAAUAUUAAAAAUCAGUCUAAAAUGUCAGUUCCUAUGGCUUUAUGAUGUAAAGAUAUGAAUUUUAAGCAAAGGUCAUAAUCUAGAACGUCAAAUUUACCUAUGACCUUGACCUCAAUUUCAAGGUCACAAACUGAGGAUCUCAAAUCAAAAGACCCUAGGUCUCUAAUAUGUAUGGUUAAUAAGUUAUAUCAAUUUACGCAUAAUUUUAGAUAUGAUCGGGGCUAAAACUCCCAGUCAUUGUCUACGCACCCUUUCAACCAAAAUUAUUAAGUUACGACAUGUCGCAACUAACAUUUUAGUAAAAAUAAUUUGUCGAU